rnacentral:lncRNA from 1 species
AAACCACUGUUAUUUUUCUGUUAUUUAAAGAUAGGUGAGAACAUGUACUAAUGUCAGCUGUGUAUACAUUCAGCUCUGGGGUAAAAAGCCUUAACAAGAGAACAGAAAGAGAGUAA